rnacentral:misc_RNA from 1 species
GAUGAAGAACGUAGCGAAAUGCGAUAAGUAAUGUGAAUUGCAGAAUUCAGUGAAUCAUCGAAUCUUUGAACGCACCUUGCGCUCCUUGGUAUUCCGAGGAGCAUGCCUGUUUGAGUGUCAUUAAUUUCUCAACCUCACCAGCUUUUGCUGAGUGCAGGCUUGGAUGUGGGGGUUACAGGUCCGCUAACGUGGUCUGCUCCUCUGAAAUGUAUUAGUGGGUUGGGCCCCUAAUCUAUUGGUGUGAUAAUUAUCUACGCCGUGGAUUUGGGUGGCUGACUUAGACCCGCUUCUAACCGUCCUUCACCGGACAACUCUUGACAAUUUUGACCUCAAAUCAGGUAAGACUACCCGCUGAACUUAAGCAUAUCAAUAAGCGGAGGA